GGGGUCCUAAUACAUGCAGUCGAGCGACAGACGAGGAGCUUGCUCCUCUGACGUUAGCGGCGGAUGGGUGAGUAACACGUGGAUAACCUACCUAUAAGACUGGGAUAACUUCGGGAAACCGGAGCUAAUACCGGAUAAUAUAUUGAACCGCAUGGUUCAAUAGUGAAAGACGGUUUUGCUGUCACUUAUAGAUGGAUCCGCGCCGCAUUAGCUAGUUGGUAAGGUAACGGCUUACCAAGGCAACGAUGCGUAGCCGACCUGAGAGGGUGAUCGGCCACACUGGAACUGAGACACGGUCCAGACUCCUACGGGAGGCAGCAGUAGGGAAUCUUCCGCAAUGGGCGAAAGCCUGACGGAGCAACGCCGCGUGAGUGAUGAAGGUCUUCGGAUCGUAAAACUCUGUUAUUAGGGAAGAACAAAUGUGUAAGUAACUAUGCACGUCUUGACGGUACCUAAUCAGAAAGCCACGGCUAACUACGUGCCAGCAGCCGCGGUAAUACGUAGGUGGCAAGCGUUAUCCGGAAUUAUUGGGCGUAAAGCGCGCGUAGGCGGUUUUUUAAGUCUGAUGUGAAAGCCCACGGCUCAACCGUGGAGGGUCAUUGGAAACUGGAAAACUUGAGUGCAGAAGAGGAAAGUGGAAUUCCAUGUGUAGCGGUGAAAUGCGCAGAGAUAUGGAGGAACACCAGUGGCGAAAGCGACUUUCUGGUCUGUAACUGACGCUGAUGUGCGAAAGCGUGGGGAUCAAACAGGAUUAGAUACCCUGGUAGUCCACGCCGUAAACGAUGAGUGCUAAGUGUUAGGGGGUUUCCGCCCCUUAGUGCUGCAGCUAACGCAUUAAGCACUCCGCCUGGGA
rnacentral:rRNA from 1 species